AUUGAACGCUGGCGGCAGGCCUAACACAUGCAAGUCGGGCGAGCCGCGGACGGGUUAGUAAUGUAUGGGGAUCUGCCUGAUGGAGGGGGAUAACUACUGGAAACUGUAGCUAAUACCGCAUACCUUCAGAUGACCCCAUAUGGGAUUAGCUUGUAGGUAAGGUAACGGCUUACCUAGGCGACGAUCCCUAGCUGGUCUGAGAGGAUGAUCAGCCACACUGGGACUGAGACACGGCCCAGACUCCUACGGGAGGCAGCAGUGGGGAAUAUUGCACAAUGGGCGCAAGCCUGAUGCAGACAUGCCGCGUGUAUGAAGAAGGCCUUCGGGUUGUAAAGUACUUUCAGUCGGGAGGCGUUACCGACAGAAGAAGCACCGGCUAACUCCGUGCCAGCAGCCGCGGUAAUAC
rnacentral:rRNA from 1 species